rnacentral:misc_RNA from 1 species
AGACAGUCGCAUCAUGUCUGCCCGCCGGUUCGGUGUAUGACGUUCGGUGCUAUUGAUAACCUAUAACAGUUGUUAGUUCCUCCGUCCACUUGGAUUUGGAUGAUUUUUAAUUGAUUUCACACGACGAUUUAGUUUCUGUGUCAAAUUGCAGUGGUAGUUGUGAAUUAUCAGAGUUUACAAAUUCGAGAUACGCAGUGCCGUAUCUUUCGUGAGUUUUGUACAGCGUUUAUCGAUUUUCAUUUUAUAAUGAGCGUAACGUUUUGUUUACUUUUUAUUCGUGUAUAACGUUGUCUCUGAUGUUUUUAUAAUGUGCAGUAUUCGGCUCUAGUGUUGUGGUGGGAUUGAUUCAAUUAUGUGCGAGAGUUCGGGCGAGAUUGCGUGUUUUGGAUGACAAAAACAUGGAAUUCGAGAACGAUUUCAGCUUGAAAGAAUGGGCGAAGGACAAGCCUUUGUCCAUAUUGCAGCUGGACCCGGCAGACCGUGCCGUUUUGAGGAUAGCAGGUAAAACAUGGCGAUAAAAGAUAGUCAUCACUUCGUGUUGAAGCAGUAUGAGGGGAGAAUAGAAUAAAAGGC